rnacentral:lncRNA from 1 species
GAAAUCUCGCGGUACUUCACGUCCUCCACGCGCGUGUUGUUGCCGAAUCAAGAGACCUGCCACUUCAAAUAACCCCAAACUACCCACACCGAGAUGGCCCAGACCCCUGGAAACAACGACCAGAGAGCCAGACUUCUCCGCUUUCUCAAUGUUGAGACCGAAUACAUCAAAAAUAAGUUAGCAGUGGUGUCUGAUAAAUGCAGAGAACUGCUGAUUCAGCAGAAUACAGAGCCAAUGGUGUGUGCUUCGAGUUUUCGGACUGUCCAGGAGUCGCUGAGGGAUGCGCUAGAGAAGAACCAGCAGUGGCUGGCCUACAGUCAGCAGGUAGAGGCCCGUGUCUCAGCCGUGCUGGCGAGAGUCGACCAGCUGGAGCAGCGGCACCACCAAGAGCUCGAUUCGCAGGAUGGGAGACUUGGCGAAAUGCAGCAGCAUCACGAGGGAAACCUACAGAGACGUGAAGCUCAGUCGGAACUCCUGGACCGGCAGAGAGAGCUGGAGCAGUUGGAGCAGCACCUGAGGGAAAAGCAUGCGGAGCUGAGCCGAGUGCAGCGCAGGAUUCAGGACAGGCGGAGGGAGUUAGACCUGUUGCAUGAAGCUCGGAACAGGCCACGCUCAGGCGUCCAAACGAGACAAAUCCAGGCGCCAUCCCAGGAGACUGUGUCCAACCACACAUCCUCGCCAAGAGGGAUGCAAGAGAGAGUCAAGGAGUGAAACCAGCCUUGAUUUCCUUGGGACGCUUGGAUCAGGUUCCAUGGGUUUUCACAGACUUCACCACCACAUCCAACAUGUCCUAUUUCACCUUCUUCUCUGAGCUGCAUCAUGUGAAAAAAGGGUGGAAAAGUUGAAAUCUUUCAGCUUUGAAUAUAAAACUGCGCACUGAACAUUUGAUGUGUCAGUAGUUCAUUACACCUCGCUUAGCUGGAAUUCACGCUAAUCUUUGCAUGGAAGUUUUUGCUGUUGGUUUGUGUAUAUGGUGUAUUCAUGAGAAUUGUUAAUGGAUAUUGAAAUUUGAUUACAUUCGUUUCAAUAUUAUUGAAUAACUUCAGACCAGGAGGAACUGCAAAAGAAGUCUGGAGAAAAAACAACAGACACUGAUGCUCUCAGUUUCAAGACUAUCGCCUCU